UUAGCGUAAUGCUAGUUAUCUUGCUAUGGUUUACCGCUGCGUAUUUUGAAUAUUGCUUAUGGUUAUUAAAUUGUGUUGUUAGGUGAACCUCUCGCUUUAGAUUGUUUGGGGUGGGUUAGCGAGGGGUUGUAUUUUGUUAGUGGGGGAUUGUAACUCGCUGAGUAAUGCUAGAUUACUCACUCCUCACUCGUUGUUGUUUUCAGGUGACCAGUAGUGAGCUCGUAGAAAGCGCGGGAGGCUAAGCU
rnacentral:lncRNA from 1 species